CCUACGGGUGGCUGCAGUGGGGGAUAUUGCACAAUGGGCGAAAGCCUGAUGCAGCGAAGCCGCGUGAGGGAAGACGGUCUUCGGAUUGUAAACCUCUGUCUUUGGGGAAGAAAAUGACGGUACGCAAAGAGGAAGCGCCGGCUAACUACGGGCCAGCAGCCGCGGUAAUACGUCGGGAGCAAGCGUUGUCCGGAAUUACUGGGUGCAAAGGGAGCGUAGGCGGGAUGUAAAGUAGACUGUGAAAUCCCUCGGCUCAACCGGUGGCUGCGUUGUAAACGGCCGUUCUUGAGUGGAGUAGAGGCAGGCGGAAUUCCUAGUGUAGCGGUGAAAUGCGUAGAUAUUAGGCGGAACACCAGUGGCGAAGGCGGCCUGCUGGGCUUUAACUGACGCUGAGGCUCGAAAGCGUGGGGAGCAAACAGGAUUAGAUACCCUGGUAGUC
rnacentral:rRNA from 1 species